GAUGAACGCUGGCGGCGUGCUUAACACAUGCAAGUCGAACGAAGUAGUUUUUAGAGCUUGCUCUAAAAACUGACUGAGUGGCGGACGGGUGAGUAACGCGUGGGUAACCUGCCUUACACAGGGGGAUAACAGUUGGAAACGACUGCUAAUACCGCAUAACAUAGAGGGGUCGCAUGAUUUUUCUAUCAAAGUUUUUCGGUGUAAGAUGGGCCUGCGUCUGAUUAGCUAGUUGGUGGGGUAACGGCCUACCAAGGCGACGAUCAGUAGCCGGCUUGAGAGAGUGAACGGCCACAUUGGGGACUGAGACACGGCCCAAACUCCUACGGGUGGCAG
rnacentral:rRNA from 1 species